rnacentral:misc_RNA from 1 species
GUUGCUUCAUCUUCUCCAGAGCAUCAGUUGUAUACGAACUAAUAGGAGCUUCUGUAGGGGGCGCAGCUGGGGCAGGAGGGAAAUUUUUUUAAAAAGAAAUGAAGAAGGAAAUUAGCAUUCAAGAAUUAAUACGAUUAAAAUUUCUAUCUGCUUGAUUUCACAGAUUCAAAACACAGAACCCCGUAAAACUCCAUCUAAAACCACAACAAAUAAAUUAAAAUUUCUUAUCUGCUUGAUUUCCAGGAAGGAGACGUUGUGAUGGUGGGCGAGGAAGAAAGGGAAGGAAGAGAGGAAUGGGAGAAAAG